rnacentral:rRNA from 1 species
AUGUCACUCUUAUCACCACCACCACCACCACCACCAUUGUUGGUCACACCAUAUGGGUCAACAGGAGGUGGUGAUUCGUCCGUUUCAAUCGACCCUUACGUACCAUUGAUCGUGACUUUGAUCAUCAUUGCCGCCCUCAUGGUUGCCUCUUUGGUUUUUGCAAAUUUAUGUGUUAAGCGUUGGGCAUUCUUCAACAGUUCAUAUGCUACACAGUCAUUCGUGAAGCAAGAAUGUGGCAUGUGCACUCGUGAGGGCACCAUUGAUGUUGCUUAUCCUGUGAUGAAGGGUAAUGUGGAGAAUGUGGCUUCAGAGGAGUUGGUGGAGUCAGAUCCACCACAAAACGAAGAGGAUGACGAGGAUGGUUCUUCCGAAGAAGGUUUUUAA